AGCUGGCAGGCACCAGCGCGUAUACCUGUCACUUUCUGCUCUGCCAUGCUUAGCAUAGCUUAGCUUUUUAGCUGACUUAGCAUGCAACACUAAAUUAAUCCAUAACUCCUUCCCACCUGCAGGCCCGUAGCGUGGAGACGUUGCGGAUAGCCAGCUGUUUGGGUCAAUGUGCCAAUGAAUUGAUGGCAAUAUUUUUCCUAGAAAAUAAACUUUUAUAAGUUUAGAAGUUUGAAGAGUUAUCUUUUAUCCUUCCUUCUGUUGAUCUUUAUUCAUUUUAUCCAUUAGCCACUAGUAUAAUUUAAUUGACUUUAACAUAAAUAAAACACAUCGUCAAGUUCCUUGGCAGUGUUUCCCGUAUACUGUUGCCGUUUGUCUUCAUUUCUCUGUUUUUUCAACAUCUGUGUUCAAAACUUCAUGUGCAACAGCUCAUUAAUCUAAUCUUAUAUAAAGGAAAUAAAAUGAGUUAAUUUUCAAUUCUUGUUUUAUUUACAGUAAUUCAGUGAAUAUAACAAUUAAACGAAAAACAUUCUCCAGCCUCUACAAUGUGUUACACACUGAUAAAAUACUAAUAAAACAAAUAAUUCAGUUUGUAAAGAAAAAAAAAGGAAAUAACAUUCCACCUGAAUGCUUUCCCACCUCUGAAAAGACUAAACUGGAGUUCAUACUGGAUUGCAAGACAGAUUAAAAAAAAAAGCUACACCCUUACAGGAAAACAAUAAUGCAAUGGUAUUGUCAAUAUAUUAAAUUACUUAUUAUAUUAUAAUGAACUAUAAUUAAUUAUGAAUGAAUUGUCAAAAUAUAAUAUUUCCUUAUUGUCAAGGCAACAUUUCUUCAUAACAAACAAUUUGUGUAGAAAACAUCCACAUAUUUUAUGUGAAAAAUGCUUAUAACCUCCAAAUGAGAGAAUAGUUUUUUCAUUGCUUUUACAGAAUGUUUAUUAAGAAUACAAAUUGUAUUUAUACCUCUACACAAAAAAGAAAAUUGUUUUCACCAGAUGAGUAGAUGACAGGAACCAAGACCAUCUUUGAACAAAUAUUCUCAAAAGGUUUUUGCCAAAAAAGAUAUGCAUGAAAGCAAAAACACAGUUUAUCUCAACACAAUGUUUUAGAUUUUCUUCUUCGAUGCUUCGUUGCUAAUGAAGGGACAGUCGUAGUCUGUCCAGCUGAUGAUCUUCGUCGGUUGACUUUUUUUUUUUUUGUCUUUUUCAGUUGGCGUGUUUUUAUGUUUGGUCGGAGACAUGGACAAUCUCAACUGAAGGCACUGUUUGACACACUUCAUGUUAUCAUGUACUGCCUUUUUGAUGUAGUUGGUAUUUCACCCCCUCAUACUUUACCAUUACAAGCUGGUACUCACUUGAUGAAACAUAAGCAACAUAUGUCAUCUGUAACCGACCUCAUGGUCUGCUUAGGAAUCCCAGCUUGGCUUCCCUGCACAUCAUGUGCUGAAUGGAAACUUGGGCAUCAAUUAAUCUGUCUCCACACAUUUACAAAAGGCGUGUCUAACUGGUGUUAGGAGUUUUAAAUAGAUGGAACCUUCAGCUCAGUGUCACACCAGCUGGUGAUUUGAAGCUCUUCUACUGCACAUUUACGCUUCACACGUCUUCUUUCCUUCAUUCCAGCUCUUCCAGUAUGGCGACACUGUGGAUACACGCCAUCUCAGUUCUGCUCUUACUGGCCGUGACCCGUCCGAGCACAGAAGCCACUAGUUUACUGCAACUGUGUGGCCAGCCUCUGGUGGAUGCCCUUUACGAAGUCUGUGGAGACAAAGGCUUCUACUACCGCUCACGCGCAGAGGAUACUACCAUUGUGAGGGUCUGCUGUCACCAGCCCUGCCACCACUCUGAACUGGCAAACUAUUGCGCCGACUGAGCUGGCAGGCACCAGCGCGUAUACCUGUCACUUUCUGCUCAGCCAUGCUUAGCAUAGCUUAGCUUUUUAGCUGACUUAGCAUGCAACACUAAAUUAAUCCAUAACUCCUUCCCACCUGGAGGCCCAUAGCGUGGAGACGUUGCGGAUAGCCAGCUGUUUGGGUCAAUGUGCCAAAGAAUUGAUGGCAAUAUUUUUCCUAGAAAAUAAAGUUUUAUGAGUUUAGAAGUUUGAAGAGUUAUCUUUUAUCCUUCCUUCUGUUGAUCUUUAUUCAUUUUAUCCAUUAGCCACUAGUGUAAUUUUAUUGACUUUAACAUAAAUAAAACACACUGGCAAGUUCCUUGGCAGUGUUUCCUGUA